GGAUUAGAUACCCUGGUAGUCCAUGCUGUAAACGAUGAAUACUCGAUGUUGGCGAUACACUGUCAGCGUUCAAGCGAAAGCAUUAAGUAUUCCACCUGGGGAGUACGAUCGCAAGGUUGAAACUCAAAGGAAUUGACGGGGGCCCGCACAAGCGGUGGAGCAUGUGGUUUAAUUCGAUGGUACGCGAGGAACCUUACCAGGGCUUAAAUGGUAUUGGACCGUUGCCGAAAGGUGACUUUCUUUUAGACUAGUAUCAAGGUGCUGCAUGGCUGUCGUCAGCUCGUGCUG
rnacentral:rRNA from 1 species